rnacentral:rRNA from 1 species
UAGGGAAUCUUCGGCAAUGGGGGGAACCCUGACCGAGCAACGCCGCGUGAGUGAAGAAGGUUUUCGGAUCGUAAAGCUCUGUUGUUAAGGAAGAACGAGUGUGAGAAUGGAAAGCUCAUACUGUGACGGUACUUAACCAGAAAGGGACGGCUAACUACGUGCCAGCAGCCGCGGUAAUACGUAGGUCCCGAGCGUUGUCCGGAGUUAUUGGGCGUAAAGCGAGCGCAGGCGGUUAGAUAAGUCUGAAGUUAAAGGCAGUGGCUCAACCAUUGUAGGCUUUGGAAACUGUUUAACUUGAGUGCAGAAGGGGAGAGUGGAAUUCCGUGUGUAGCGGUGAAAUGCGUAGAUAUAUGGAGGAACACCGGUGGCGAAAGCGGCUCUCUGGUCUGUAACUGACGCUGAGGCUCGAAAGCGUGGGGAGCGAACAGG